CCAAUAGCGUAUAUUAAAGUUGUUGCAGUUAAAAAGCUCGUAGUUGAAUUUCGGGAUCAAUGCGUCGGUCGUGCCUCGGUACGCACUAACGAUAUUGACCUCUACCUUCUGACGAACCGUGAUGUCAUUAAUUUGGUGUUACGGGGGGUUAGGACUGUUACUUUGAAAAAAUUAGAGUGUUUAAAGCAAGCAAUCGCUCGAAUACAUUAGCAUGGAAUAAUGAAAUAGGACGUUCGAACCUAUUUUGUUGGUUUCUAGGAUCGACGUAAUGAUUAAUAGGGAUAGUUGGGGGCAUUAGUAUUCAAUUGUCAGAGGUGAAAUUCUUGGAUUUAUUGAAGACUAACUACUGCGAAAGCAUUUGCCAAGGAUGUUUUCAUUAAUCAAGAACGAAAGUGAGGGGAUCGAAGACGAUCAGAUACCGUCGUAGUCUUAACCAUAAACUAUGCCGACUAGGGAUCGGAUGAUGUUAAUUUUUUAAUGACUCAUUCGGCGCCUUACG
rnacentral:rRNA from 1 species